rnacentral:rRNA from 1 species
UACGUAGGGUCCGAGCGUUGUCCGGAAUCAUUGGGCGUAAAGAGCGUGUAGGCGGCCCGGUAAGUCCGCUGUAAAAGUCAAAGGCUCAACCUUUGAAUGUCAGUGGAUACUGCCGGGCUAGAGUCCGGAAGAGGCGAGUGGAACUCCUGGUGUAGCGGUGGAAUGCGCAGAUAUCAGGAAGAACACCAACGGCGAAGGCAGCUCGCUAGGACGGUACUGACGCUGAGACGCGAAAGCGUGGGGAGCGAACAGG